GCCAGUGUGGCAUAGGGGUUUGAAUGCUGGUGUAUGGCUCUGGAGACCAGGGUUCGAAUCCCUGCUCAGCCA